UACGAAAGGAGCAAGUGUUAUUCAGAUUCACUGGGCGUAAAGCGUCUGUAGGUGGUUUAAUAAGUCAACUGUUAAAUCUUGAGGCUCAACCUCAAAAUCGCAGUCGAAACUAUUAGGCUAGAGUAUAGUAGGGGUAAAGGGAAUUUCCAGUGGAGCGGUGAAAUGCGUAGAUAUCUGGAGGAACACCGGUGGCGAAGGCGGCGUUCUGGACUGAAACUGACACUGAGGAACGAAAGCCAGGGGAGCAAACGGG
rnacentral:rRNA from 1 species